GUCGGUUGUAGUGGCCUCGCCGCCCGGUCCGCUGUCGCAGCGCUCAUCCGCGCCGGGAGCCCUUGGCUGCGUCGCCCGGCAGCCGCGUAAAGACGCUGCGAAUUGACGCCUUUUAUAAUAAAGACACUUAUCUUGCCCAAGAGCUGGGCUGAUUGGCGCUGGUUUCCAUCUGUCAGAUUGGACAGCAGUACCACUGGCUGUUGGGGGCUCACGACCAGAUAGAGUCUUGUCUGGGAACCACAAGUGAGUGUUGUUACCACAGCUCUGCAGCAGUGAGGGCACCUCUCAAUCCACGUGCAGUCGCCCCACCUUAUCUUCAGGGGAUACGGUCCAACACCCUCAAUGGAUGCCUGAAAUCAAGGAUAGUAGUGAACACUAUAUACACUGUUUUGUUAUGCAUCCUUCCAUAUCUACGAUAAAGUUUAAUUCAUAAACUAGGCACAGGAAGAGAUUAAUAACAGCUAAUAAUAAAAUAGAACAGUCGUAACAAUAUACUGUAAUAAAAGUCAUGUGAAAGUGAUGUCUCUCUCCUAAAAUAUCUUACUGUAUUGUACGCACAUGUUUUUGAACUGCAGUUCACCGAGGGUUACUGAAUCCAUGGAUAAGGGGAGAUUACAGCAGUUUCUUUUCUGACUAUGUUAUUGAGACUUCAAAACUAACUAAAUUGUUCGUUGAAUGGAAUUGUCCAAGGUGUACAAAAUGACAGUUGUAACACAAAGGUGUUUCACUGACAUCCCUGUCACGUUUUUGCUAAACUAAUGCACUUUUAAAAAUUAUUAUUUAUGCUGGGUGUGGUGGCUUAUGCCUGUAAUCCCAGCACUUUGGGAGGCUGAGGCGGG
rnacentral:lncRNA from 1 species